AUGAAUUCAGGUCUUCCUGACUCCAUGCCAGUAUUCUAUUCAAUAUGUCACUUAGCUGCCCUGAGACCAGCAAACAAUUGAAAGCUCCACCCACUUCCCCCUCUCCCUUUCCUAUUUUAUACUCAAGAGGCUUUCCUCCCCACAUACUCUUCUCUCAGAGGGACCCAUGAGCCAGCCCGCUGCUGCAAGAGACCCUGCUUCUUCCUCCCACAUCUCAGUCCCUUACUCUCAGGCCCACCAGGUGCUAUUCAAAGCACCAGAAAACAGACCGGUUCGUAGACAGCUUCGAAUCGAGAGUAAAUAAGGUAGGUUUCAAUCUCUAUCCUUGAGCCCUGAGCCCUGAGCCCUGGGCCCAUGGUUAGGUAUCUGGAUUCCUUAAAGGUGCUACCUGGCAUAACAGCAACAACAACAACAACAACAAUAAUAGUACCUUCUUCUUACGCAUGGCUUGUAACUUUUCAGAGCAAUUCCACAUUGAUGGUCUCGUUAGUGCUUCGCAACAGUGAUGAUUAUUAGCUCCUUCUUUAUAGAUGGAAAAUUAAAACUCAGAGUGGAGGGCUUUUCCCUAAGCCACUCCAUUGAAUUAGAGGUGGGAGUAGGAAUUCAGUCUCCUGGCUGGUACCUUCAUGUUAUUAGGUAGGGAUGGGGGAGGUACUUGUUAGAGCAGAUGUGAGGAAGCUGGAGAAGGUAAGGAUCAAUGAGAUUUUUCUCCAAGCAGGAUGAUGAUUCAACAGUCUUGGAAAAUGCUAAAGAUUUAACUUCUCAGUACAAGGUAAGCCCAGAUUUCAGUUCUUUCUCCUUCUAUCUUGUCACGUCCUAUCCUGUUGCUCUGAGGCUCUGGACUCAUUCUCCCAAGCUAUAUUCAUAUCAGCUAGUCAGAGCCCCAGAACAAGGAUUCUAGUCCCCUUCAGGAUUCUAGGAGCACCUGUGAGUGGUUGUGGGUAUCUUUCUAAUGCCACUAAGUUGAUCCUCCAUUCUUAAGUGUUUUCACCAGUAACAAUCACCAAUUAUGGUUAUCAUCUUCCUUAGAUCAUUGAUAACCUACAAGGAUUAGCACCCUAGUAUCACUGAACUAAUUAAAAUCAAUUAGCUUUUUUAAAAGGAUAUUUACUGAGAAGAUAUAGCAAGAAUGGGAGUACUAACACAUCCCUUUACCCUAGGGGACACAUUCUCCCCUAAAUACACAAUCUGUUAGUGGGAGACAGGGAUACAAAUAUUCGCCCCACCUCCUUCACUUCUGAAUGUGGCAGAGCUGAUGGAUGAGUUUCCCCAUUCUCUCAGCCAGGCCCACUCCUUGCCAAGCUGAAUUCUACUCUUCAGUAUGAUUAUGGCACCUCAUCUGGCCCUUCCAUCAUACAUCAUCCUGCCUUUCCUGAAUGGAGUCUUCUCAGCCUCUUCCCUAUGAGCUGACAGCAGGCAGAGCUUGCUGAGCAUGCUCUGGGAAUGGGCUGCCAUUGGCCAGAACCCCUGUUAUACUGUCCCCAAUUUCGUCCAGAGACUCUACUGUUCAGGCCUCCUCACUGACAUUAAGGGCAACUGACAUUUAGGACUUCUGGGUCCUGUUCAAUGACCUUUCUCUCUGUCUUCAUCCCACUCUGCUUCAUCAUGCACCCUAGGAGUUUUGUUGUCUUUCCAACAAGGGUGGGAUGGGGCUGUCAGAGCUGUCUGCCCCUUACCUGCUGCUCUCCACCUCUUGUUCAGGAGAACAUCAAUAACCGUUUGAUGGAUAUUGUUGACGCUGCAUAUCAGAAACAAAUUCAGAAAAAGACAGAAGUAAAGCAGCUGUUCUCUUCAGACAAGCUAAGAAGACUCCAGGAAAGACCUCCAAGGGCAGAUGUUCAUCCUAGAGUAAAGUGCAAACACCUCCAGGCCAACUCUGUAGAAACAACAAACAACAAACUGGGGGGCUGGGGUUGAGGGGUAGUCUCAGUCUUAGAAACUUUCAUCUCCUGGACAGUGUAGGGGUCUGGUGGCUGAGUAGGAGAAGAUUGAAGGACCUUCCACCAUUGAGGGACAUCAAGCACAGCUGUGCUGACCAGAUGUGUCUGGGGCUGGGCUGGUGCUGUGGGGGAGGAGUUGAACACCUGGUGAGUGCAGAAGCAGAGGGGCAGAGACCCUGCUGACUGUGGGCACUUGCUGGAAAGCAGAGUUCCUGGCUUCAAUUCCAGGCAAGAGAGGAAAGCUAUGGUUUGCAGCCACUGAAGGAACUGCAGGGAGGAAGGUCAUUUGUGGGACAGUGUGGCUGGGGUCCCUAGCUGUCCCCAAUUUCAUCCAGAGACUCUACUGUUCAGGCCUCCUCACUGACAUUAAGGGCAACUGACAU